rnacentral:rRNA from 1 species
ACCAGACUCCUACGGGAGGCAGCAGUAGGGAAUAUUGCUCAAUGGGGGGAACCCUGAUGCAGCGACGCCGCGUGGGUGAAGAAGCGCCUCGGCGCGUAAAGCCCUGUCAGCAGGGAAGAAAAUGACGGUACCUGAAGAAGAAGCCCCGGCUAACUACGUGCCAGCAGCCGCGGUAAUACGUAGGGGGCAAGCGUUAUCCGGAUUUACUGGGUGUAAAGGGGGCGCAGACGGCGAUGCAAGCCAGGAGUGAAAGCCCGGGGCCCAACCCCGGGACUGCUCUUGGAACUGCGUGGCUGGAGUGCAGGAGGGGCAGGCGGAAUUCCUGGUGUAGCGGUGAAAUGCGUAGAUAUCAGGAGGAACACCGGUGGCGAAGGCGGCCUGCUGGACUGCAACUGACGUUGAGGCCCGAAAGCGUGGGGAGCAAACAGGAUUAGAUACCCCCGUAA